AGAAGGUAUGCUGCCGGAGGCAGAUCAAAGUCUAUUCAAAUGUUAAUAUGAUUCAUGCUUCGUUUCUGUAGGAGUAUAUGCAUUUUAGCAUAAUCUCAUAAGGACACAAACACUCCCCUCAUAUUCUUUUUUGACAAGGUUGUGUGCAGUUUUGAGCUCUUUAGGCUUUUGAACUUUACGUUUGUUCUUAUUUCUGUUCAUUUCUGGCAAUGGGAACUGCAACCAGACUCCUCAAUGCAGCUAUCAUCAUUGUAAUGAAUAGGAUACGAUGAUUUCUGUCUUGUUAUGUUGGGCUUAACAUGUAAUCAAUUUUGCACUGGAUUUAUAUUUUUUAACCUGCUGAAUCUUUUCCUACAAAGUAUGUUUAUAUCUGAACUUUAUUCAUCUGCCUGCAGCUCCCAGAUCACACCUUUGCAAACAGCUAGAGUAUAUAUCAAACCGGUUGAGAAUCAUACAAUGACGGGUUGAUCGAAGGACUGCACCUUUCAGUUUUACAAAGAGAUAGAUAACAUGUUGUCUUAGGUCAUUCUAGUUCAGUUCACUAAUUCGUAUCCGUUGGCUUCAGAUUUUAGACUAGGCUCUUCCGUUGACAGGUUGCGAAAUAAGAUGAAAACUGCUGCUUUGGUAGACUUUACACUAGUAAUGGAGAUGGUGUUCUGGAAGUGAACACUAAUCUUGUUAUGAUCGAGUGCACUUGUAAACUAAUACGUCAUAUAUAUAAUAAGGUUUUCUGUUAUUACAGUUUGAGACGAAA